AAUGAACGCUGGCGCCAGGCCUAACACAUGCAAGUCGAACGAGGUCUUCGGACCUAGUGCCGGACGGGUGAGUAACGCGUGGGAACGUSCCCCYUGGUACGGAAUAGCCCCUGGAAACGGGGAGUAAUMCCGUAUGAGCUCGCAAGAGGAAAGAUUUAUCGCCAAGGGAUCGGCCCGCGUUGGAUUAGGUAGUUGGUGGGGUAAUGSCCUACCAASCCGMCGAYCCAUAGCUGGUUUGAGAGGAUGAUCASCCMCACUGGGACUGAGMCMCGSCCCAGACUCCUMCGGGAGSCASCAGUGGGGAAUCUUAGCCAAUGGGGGAAACCCUGAUCUASCCAUSCCGCGUGAUSGAUGAAGCCCUUAGGGUUGUAAAGAUCUUUCAGUUGGGAAGAUAAUGACGGUACCAACAGAAGAAGCCCCGGCUAACUCCGYG
rnacentral:rRNA from 1 species